rnacentral:rRNA from 1 species
CCUACGGGUGGCUGCAGUGAGGAAUAUUGGUCAAUGGCCGAGAGUCUGAACCAGCCAAGUAGCGUGAAGGAUGACUGCCCUACGGGUUGUAAACUUCUUUUAUCUGGGAAUAAAAUGUGCCACGUGUGGGACUUUGUAUGUACCAUAUGAAUAAGCAUCGGCUAACUCCGUGCCAGCAGCCGCGGUAAUACGGAGGAUGCGAGCGUUAUCCGGAUUUAUUGGGUUUAAAGGGUGCGCAGGCGGGGGUUAAAGUCGGCGGUGAAAUCGCGGGGCUCAACCCCGCACAGACGUUGAAACUGGGGGCCUUGAGUGCGCCGGAGGCAUGCGGAAUGCGCGGUGUAGCGGUGAAAUGCAUAGAUAUCGCGCAGAACUCCGAUUGCGAAGGCAGCGUGCCGUGGCGCAACUGACGCUGAUGCACGAAAGCGCGGGGAUCGAACAGGAUUAGAUACCCUGGUAGUC